GGUGAACGUUGGCGGUGCGCCUAAUACAUGCAAGUCGAGCGAGAAAGUCCAAACCCGCAAGGGGGAGGGCGAGUACAGCGGCGAACUGGUGAGUAACACGUGAUCAACCUACCUCUCCGACAGGGACAACCUUUGGAAACAAAGGCUAAUACCUGAUGGCGUUGCUUGCCCACAAGGGCGAGCAAAUAAAGGGGCGUUUGCUCCGCGGGGAGAUGGGGUUGCGGCCCAUCAGCUAGUUGGUAGGGUAACGGCCUACCAAGGCGAUGACGGGUAGGGGGCCUGAGAGGGCGAACCCCCACAUGGGGACUGAGAUACGGCCCUGACUCCUACGGGAGGCAGCAGUAGGGAAUCUUCCGCAAUGGACGAAAGUCUGAUGGAGCAACGCCGCGUGAGCGAUGAAGGCCUUCGGGUCGUAAAGCUCUGUUGUUAGGGAAGAACAAGUACCGGAGUAACUGCCGGUACCUUGACGGUACCUAACCAGAAAGCCACGGCUAACUACGUGCCAGCCGCCGCAGUAAAAC
rnacentral:rRNA from 1 species